rnacentral:rRNA from 1 species
UCGAGAGGGCUACACGGUCUCCUUUCUUAAAUCAGUGAAACUGAUUCUCCCGUGAAGAAGCGGGAAUACCCCUAUAAGACGAGAAGACCCCAUGGAGCUUUAAACUCAACGCACACCUCCUGAAUACCUAAACCCCUAUAACCAAUUUAAAUUGUGCGCUAGUUUUGGGUUGGGGAGACCGCGGAGUAAAACUUAACCUCCGCAACAAACGGAUUAACACCCUUAUCUAAGAACCACACCUCUAAGAAUCAGUAAACUGAUGUCCCAUGACCCAUUUUAUGAUCAACGAACCAAGUUACCCUGGGGAUAACAGCGCAAUCUACUUCGAGAGCUCAUAUCGACAAGUAGGCUUACGACCUCGAUGUUGGAUCAGGGAAUCCCAGUGGUGCAGCCGCUACUAAAGGUUCGUUUGUUCAACGAUUAAAACCCUACGUGAUCUGAGUUCAGACCGGA